GAUGAACGCUGGCGGCGUGCCUAAUACAUGCAAGUCGAGCGAACAGAUGAGGUGCUUGCUCCUCUGACGUUAUCGUCGGACGGGUGAGUAACACGUGGAUAACCUACCUAUAAGACUGGGAUAACUACGAGACCCCGGAGCUAAUACCGGAUAAUAUAUUGAACCGCAUGGUUCAAUAGUGAAUGACGGUUUUGCUUUCACUUAUAGAUGGUUCCGCGCCGCAUUAGCUAGUUGGUAAGGUAACGGCUUACCAAGGCAACGAUGCGUAGCCGACCUGAGAGGGUGAUCGGCCACACUGGAACUGAGACACGGUCCAGACUCCUACGGGAGGCAGCAGUAGGGAAUGUUACGCAAUGGGCGAAAGCGUGACGGAGCAACGGCGCGUGAGUGAUGAAGGUCUUCGGAUCGGAAAACUCUGUUAUUAGGGAAGAACAAAUGGGUAAGUAACUAGGAACGUCUUGACGGUACCUAAACAGAAAGCAACGGCUAACUACGUG
rnacentral:rRNA from 1 species